ACUCCUGCGGGAGGCAGCAGUAGGGAAUCUUCCACAAUGGGUGCAAACCUGAUGGAGCAAUGCCGCGUGAGUGAAGAAGGUCUUCGGAUCGUAAAGCUCUGUUGUUAGAGAAGAACACGUGCUAGGUAACUACUAGCGCCUUGACGGUAUCUAACCAGAAAGUCACGGCUAACUACGUGCCAGCAGCCGCGGUAAUACGUAGGUGACAAGCGUUGUCCGGAUUUAUUGGGCGUAAAGGGAGCGCAGGCGGUCUGUUUAGUCUAAUGUGAAAGCCCACGGCUUAACCGUGGAACGGCAUUGGAAACUGACAGACUUGAAUGUAGAAGAGGAAAGUGGAAUUCCAAGUGUAGCGGUGGAAUGCGUAGAUAUUUGGAGGAACACCAGUGGCGAAGGCGAUUUUCUGGUCUAACAUUGACGCUGAGGCUCGAAAGCGUGGGGAGCGAACAGGAUUAGAAACCCCGGUAGUCCCAUGAU
rnacentral:rRNA from 1 species